rnacentral:snoRNA from 13 species
AAGACUAUACUUUCAGGGAUCAUUUCUAUAGUUCCUGACUUGAGAAAUGUGUUUCUAAAGUGUUGGUCUCGCUAACCACGAUGAAGAGGUGGUGAUGCUCCUCUCUGAGCGCGAAGCGGGCAGAGAAACUUGAUUCACUUCAUGUGUUCUCUGCUUUUGAUGACCGUUCAGCGCCUCCAUCCGGGGCUUUGAGGGGAGGAGCAUGAUCAGAGUGGU